rnacentral:rRNA from 1 species
GACAGAGGUGCCGAGCGUUAGGCGGAAUCACUGGGCUUAAAGCGUGUGUAGGCGGGCGGGCAAGUACCUUGUGAAAUCCCACGGCUCAACCGUGGAACGGCUGGGUAUACUGCCUGUCUUGAGCCAGCUAGGGGCGAGCGGAACAGACGGUGGAGCGGUGAAAUGCGUAGAUAUCGUCUGGAACGCCGAAGGUGAAAACAGGUAACUGGGGAUGUGCCGACGCUGAGACACGAAAGCCAGGGGAGCGAACGGG